AGGCUCGGCGUUGGCCUCCGCGGCCCGUGCGAGUGCGCCCUUCUCGGGUCCCCUAGGUCGCGGGGCAGCCGGGGCGGAAGGGGCUUGUUCAUUAUUUUGAGAGUUUGUUGUGAACGUCAUAACCUUUCGUCCUUAAAUAUUGCCGAUACUUGACCUACGCAAGAGACAAUGUCAUGUGAUUCAGCCUAAUAUCUCAGAGGAUGCAGCAUUCAAGGUUCUAUCUUGGAAGCAGAGACUGUGCCCUCACCAGAUGCUGAACCUGCUGAGCACCCUGAUCUUCCACUUCACCUUCAUCAGAACUACUGGGGCUGUGGCUGAGAUGUCACAUGGCAGAUAGGAUCACAAAUUUCUGUUGUAUCUGGAUGGAGAUCAGCAGGAGGAUCUAUGGACUGCUGUGAUUGCACCUGCCAUCUUAUGCAGAAAUGACCUGAAGACAGACUGAAACAACGUGUUCUACAGCCUGAAAAUAUCUACCUUGACUUACAGUUUUAUUAAUGCUGGUGUGAUCAGACUGGACAAAAAUUAGCAUAUGUUAUUAACUGAUCUAAUUCAAGUGCCAAUUCUUAAUAGAAACACAAAACAAUAAAAGCAAUUCAGAAAAUAAAAAAAAAAAAA
rnacentral:lncRNA from 1 species